AACCUUAUGGACCUGCGGGCGUAUACCUGCGGAAGGAUCAUUACCGAGUUAUACAACUCAUCAACCCUGUGAACAUACCUAAAACGUUGCCUCGGCGGGAACAGACGGCCCCGUAACACGGGCCGCCCCCGCCAGAGGACCCCCUAACUCUGUUUCUAUAAUGUUUUUUCUGAGUAAACAAGCAAAUAAAUCAAAACUUUUAGCAAUGGAUCU
rnacentral:misc_RNA from 1 species